rnacentral:rRNA from 1 species
AGCGGCAGGCCUAACACAUGCAAGUCGAGGGGUAGAAAGAGCUUGCUUUUUGAGACCGGCGCACGGGUGAGUAACGCGUAUGCAACCUACCUUAUACAGGGGAAUAGCCCGAAGAAAUUCGGAUUAAUGCUCCAUGGUUUAUCGAUAUGGCAUCGUAUUGAUAAUAAAGAUUUAUCGGUAUAAGAUGGGCAUGCGUAUCAUUAGCUAGUUGGUAUGGUAACGGCAUACCAAGGCAACGAUGAUUAGGGGUCCUGAGAGGGAGAUCCCCCACACUGGUACUGAGACACGGACCAGACUCCUACGGGAGGCAGCAGUGAGGAAUAUUGGUCAAUGGAGGCAACUCUGAACCAGCCAUGCCGCGUGCAGGAUGACGGUCCUAUGGAUUGUAAACUGCUUUUGUACAGGAAGAAACCUCCCUACGUGUAGGGACUUGACGGUACUGUAAGAAUAAGGAUCGGCUAACUCCGUGCCAGCAGCCGCGGUAAU